rnacentral:tRNA from 1 species
UCCCUGGUGGUCCAGUGGCUAAGACUCUGUGCUCCCAAUGCAGAGGGUCCGGGGUUCAAUCCCCGGACAAGGAA